rnacentral:rRNA from 1 species
AGUGAACGCUGGCGGUAGGCCUAACACAUGCAAGUCGAACGGCAGCACAGUAAGCGCUUGCUCUUACGGGUGGCGAGUGGCGGACGGGUGCGGAAUACAUCGGAAUCUACUUUUUCGUGGGGGAUAACGAAGGGAAACUUACGCUAAUACCGCAUACGACCUACGGGUGAAAGCAGGGGAGCUUCGGACCUUGGGCGGUUGAAUGAGACGAUGUCGGAUCAGCUAGUGGGCGGGGUAAAGGCCAACUAAGGCGACGAGCCGUAGCUGGUCUGCGAGGAUGAUAGGCCACACUGGAACUGAAAGACGGUCCAGACUCCUACGGGAGGCAGCAGUGGGGAAUAUUGGACAAUGGGCGCAAGCCUGAUCCAGCAAUACCGCGUGGGUGAAGAAGGCCUUCGGGUGGUAAAGCCCAUGUGUUGGGAAAGAAAAGCAGCAGGUUAAUAAGAAGCUGUUCUGACGGUACCUAAAGAAUAAGCACCGGCUAACUUCGUG